rnacentral:rRNA from 1 species
AUUGAACGCUGGCGGCAGGCCUAACACAUGCAAGUCGAACGAGUGGCGGACGGGUGAGUAAUGUCUGGGAAACUGCCCGAUGGAGAGGGAUAACUACUGGAAACGGUAGCUCAUACCGCAUACCAUCGGAUGUGCCUAGAUGGGAUUAGCCAGUAGGUGGGGACACGGCUCACCUAGGCGACGAGCCCUAGCUGGGCUGAUAGGAUGCCCAGCCAAACUGGAACUGAUGCACGGUCCAGGCUCCUACGGUAGGCAACAGUGGGGAAUAUUGCACAAUGGGCGCAAGCCUGAUGCAGCCAUGCCGCGUGUAUUAAGAAGGCCUUCGGGUUGUAAAGUACUUUCAGCGAGGAGGCGUUACUCGCAGAAGAAGCACCGGCUAACUCCGUGCCAGCAGCCGCGGUAAUUC